GACGAACGCUGGCGGCGUGCUUAACACAUGCAAGUCGAACGGAAAGGCCCUGCUUUUGUGGGGUGCUCGAGUGGCGAACGGGUGAGUAACACGUGAGUAACCUGCCCUUGACUGGGAUAACUUCAGGAAACUGGGGCUAAUACCGGAUAGGAGCUCCUGCUGCAUGGUGGGGGUUGGAAAGUUUCGGCGGUUGGGGAUGGACUCGCGGCUUAUCAGCUUGUUGGUGGGGUAGUGGCUUACCAAGGCUUUGACGGGUAGCCGGCCUGAGAGGGUGACCGGCCACAUUGGGACUGAGAUACGGCCCAGACUCCUACGGGAGGCAGCAGUGGGGAAUAUUGCACAAUGGGCGGAAGCCUGAUGCAGCAACGCCGCGUGCGGGAUGACGGCCUUCGGGUUGUAAACCGCUUUCGCCUGUGACGAAGCGUGAGUGACGGUAAUGGGUAAAGAAGCACCGGCUAACUACGUG
rnacentral:rRNA from 1 species